rnacentral:tRNA from 1 species
GCGGGUGUGGCGGAACAGGUAGACGCAGCACGUUGACAGCGUGUGGGGCGCAAGCCCGUGAGGGUUCGAGUCCCUCCACCCGCA